rnacentral:tRNA from 1 species
GCCUACUUAACUUAAUUGGUAGAGUAUCGGUUUUGUAAACCGAAAGUUAUCGGUUCGAGUCCGAUAGUGGGCU